GGUGCCCUCUGUCCGCCGGGUGUUCUCUGCCUGCUACGACCCCGGCGGGCUUGUCCCGCCCGCCUUCCAGAGCCGCAGGCUGAGGGAUCGGCCGCGGGAUCGGGUUGGGCCCAGCGGGGCUGGCGGCUGUGGGGGGGCGCGGGGGCUGCGAGCGCUGUGGGUUUCCCUGCCCGCCUUGGCUCCUGCCGCACUCCUGUGCUUGUUCUUCCCCGGAGCUCUGGAGGUGUUGCUCACACGCCGCCUCUGCAGGGUAGGAAGUGCCUUUGCUCCUGAGGCCAGGGAAGGAGAAACAGCAGUCUGAGGGCUUAACCAUGACCAGCAAGGUGAGGAGCAGUUCACACAUCCCCUGGCAGAGUCCCAUCAGCGUGUGCUGCCUGAGCUUCCUGCUGAAGGUGACCCUCAGCAAGAGCUGCCUUUCAGAAUAUGGAAAUUCCACAGCACAGAUGUAGGUAGCAGUCACAAGAGAUUAAAUGCUGUUAUGUGUAACGAAGCAUGAAGAUGACAAGGUAUAUGAACCAGAGGCUUUUCAGCUCAAUCACAUCAUCCAGCACAUAAUUAUACAGAUUUUGUAUUUCAGACACCAAUGUCACCUUGGGGUUGAAAUCAUUCUAGAUGAAUCGGUGAAGACACUAUUGAUCCAAAAUUUAUUAGCAGUGUUCUGCUAGAGCCAGCGGAGGGCAGACUUGAAUUGGAAACUCUUUUUGCUACUGCAGUUACUUGAAGUUAAAAUACCAGAUUUAUCAUGUCUUGAGCUCAAAGUCUCAUCACUUCUCUACUAUUCUAAUUACACUUGUGCUGGAUAAAAGCCUCUUUGCAGUUGCUGUUUGACAAAAUGAGUGUUUUGCAAAUGUUUAAAUAAAGAUGCUAAUAUGAAAGUGAAUAAGUCAGUGUGUUAGCAGCUGUGUGUUACUCAUCAGGGAUAAUCCACACUGCUUAAUCCUUAACCAUGUAUAUCUUGAAAUGUUUGUUAAAAGCUAGUGAAUAAAAUUAUCCCCAUUUUACAGAUGAAGAAACUAAGGAAUGGAGUGGUAACCUUGCAGAUUACCCAUCUGGGUGACCUACAGAAACAAGAAUAAAGUCCAGUUUUUUGAGACCUA